UGCCAACUCUUGAGUUGCACAGCAACAAACAUGGACGUGUCUCGCAAAAUAAAGACGAAAGUGUCCGCCGGCUUCAAGAUGCGGGGACUUAUACUACGGCCCAGGCUGUCCUCCACCACGGCCGUGUGUCCGCUCCUCUCCCGGGCCACCAGCUCCGAGCAGUGCCUCUCAAAAGCGGAAUCCAUGACUGGCUGCUUCAAAACAGACAACGAAGACGAGUCUUUGAGCCUAAAAUUAAACAAAUCUGUCUAAAAAUAUCAAAUCGAAAGCGUCAUUCGUUUCUACAUGUUGUUGCUGUGAGCUUAACAAAUAAAAUGAGUUAAAUCUCC